AUCCAGCUGACGAGUACCAAAUAGAACGAGAAGCUCUUCCUGGAU
rfam:Schistosoma rodhaini strain Burundi genome assembly, scaffold: SROB_scaffold0004395